rnacentral:misc_RNA from 1 species
GAUGAAGAACGUAGCGAAAUGCGAUAAGUAGUGUGAAUUGCAGAAUUCAGUGAAUCAUCGAAUCUUUGAACGCACAUUGCGCCCCUUGGUAUUCCAUGGGGCAUGCCUGUUCGAGCGUCAUUUGUACCUUCAAGCUCUGCUUGGUGUUGGGUGUUUGUCUCGCCUCUGCGUGUAGACUCGCCUCAAAACAAUUGGCAACCGGCGUAUUGAUUUCGGAGCGCAGUACAUCUCGCGCUUUGCACUCAUAACGACGACGUCCAAAAGUACAUUUUUACACUCUUGACCUCGGAUCAGGUAGGGAUACCCGCUGAACUUAAGCAUAUCAAUAAGCGGAGGA